GACGAACGCUGGCGGCGUGCCUAACACAUGCAAGUCGAACGGAAAGGCCCUGCUUUUUUGCUGUGCUGGAGUGCCGAACGGGUGCGUAUCACGUGUGUAACCUGCCCUUUACUUUGGUGGAACUUCAGGUAACGGGAGCUAAUACCAUACAGCAGCUCCUGCUGCAUGGUGGGGAUUGGAAAUUUUCGGCGGUUGGGGAUGAACGCGCGGCUAAUCGGCUUGUUGGUUGGGUAGUGGCUUACCAACGCAGUGACGGGUCGCCGGCCUGGGAGGGUGACCGGGCACAAUGGGACUGAGGUACGGCCCAGACGGCUACGUGAGGCAGCAGUGGGAAACAUUACCCAAUGGGCGGAAGCCGGAUGCAAAGACGCCGCGUGCGGAAUGACGGUUUGUGGGGAGUAAACAGCUUUAGCCUGUGACGCAGCGGGAGUGACGGUAACGGGUAAAGAAGCACCGGCUAACUACGUG
rnacentral:rRNA from 1 species